rnacentral:rRNA from 1 species
UAGGGAAUCUUCCGCAAUGGACGCAAGUCUGACGGAGCAACGCCGCGUGAGUGAAGAAGGAUUUCGGUUCGUAAAACUCUGUUGUUAGAGAAGAACAGCGCAUAGAGUAACUGUUAUGCGUGUGACGGUAUCUAACCAGAAAGCCACGGCUAACUACGUGCCAGCAGCCGCGGUAAUACGUAGGUGGCAAGCGUUGUCCGGAUUUAUUGGGCGUAAAGCGAGCGCAGGCGGUCAAUUAAGUCUGAUGUGAAAGCCCCCGGCUCAACCGGGGAGGGUCAUUGGAAACUGGUUGACUUGAAUGCAGGAGAGGAGAGUGGAAUUCCAUGUGUAGCGGUGAAAUGCGUAGCUAUAUGGAGGAACACCAGUGGCUGAGGCGACUCUCUGGUCUGUAACUGACGCUGAGGCUCGAAAGCGUGGGUAGCAAACAGG